GAGAUGCACUUCAGACAACUUUCCCUCAUACUUCAUCAAGCAACCUCGUGAGAGUGUAGAGCUUACUUUACAAGUAACUGUUGAACGCAUAAGUUGAGUAGAGUCAUAAACGGCGCAGUAUAUGUUCUGUUGAAGCUGAAUAAGCUCGAAUAAAAAAACUAUACAAUCUAGUAAUGUUAGAUGAAGAUAUUAGUAACCCGUUUUGGAGAAGUGAUUUAUCAGAUGAUUAGGCAUGAUUAUUUCUGUUUCUAUAUUAUGAAAUAUUUUACAGCAAUCAUAAAAUACACCUAAGCUUUAUUUUUGUUUAAGUAUUUAUUUUUUUAUUUAUUUAUUUUUGUUUAGAAUAAGUAUUUGUACAAGUAAGUACAGUACAUAUAUUUAUGAUUCAUAACUUGACAUCAAAUUAUCAUAUUUUGAAAACGCAAGCACUGAAGUGUCCCCCUAGACUGGUGUUAUUCAAUGCUAUAUUACAUCAUAAGGUUGCACUGUGUCUCUUCACCGGUUCAUGAGGUCUGAUAUAAAAUUUAGCUGUGAGACACGCCAGUAAAAUCACAGGGUCUGCCAAGAUCACAGUACUGUGACACAUCUGUGUGACGCAGGGCUUAACCUCAUUAAAAUACAGAACAAGUUUAAUUUUUUUAUUAUUCACACAAAAAACAUAGAUAUUUUUACAUCAUUUAACUGCAAAAAUAUUGAUUAUUUCUGUUUUUUUUUUUAAUAGCUAUGACCUAAGGUUAAUACCCAAAGUUUGAUCAAAAAAUUGAACUGCAUACUACAGAAGAGUAGAAAACUUCGUAAAAAAGAGAUGGAGCACUAGAAAUGAUUAAAAAAAUGAUACAAAGGGGGCUAUUUUCAUAAGCAGGAGAACAACUGAAUAUUCAGUGUAGAAGCAAUUCAGAACCUAUCUGAAGUUAUUGUAUCUUCAAGUUCAUGGAAAGCUGAAUGAAUUACAUAGGAAACUAGAACAUUUCGCAGAAAAUCGUCACCACCAGAAAUACUUUAUUCUACAGCAACGCAACAAUUAUUUACUUGUGUUUAAAAAAUGCAUAACUGAAACAACAUUGAAAUACUAUAAAGAAAUGCUGGAUGAAGGAUUUAUAUUACAUAUUAUGAUAAGACAAAUAAUUAUGUGUUGUAUAUCU
rnacentral:lncRNA from 1 species